rnacentral:rRNA from 1 species
UACGGAAGGGGCAGGCGUUACUCUUUUUAACUGGGUGUAAAGCGUAUUUUGAUUGUAUUACAACGCAAUUUUAAUAAGUUUUAAGAAAAUAAAAGCAAUAAAUGUGUUUAAUACUAGUUUUUAUUUAUAUCAAUUCAAUUCUUGGUUUAAGGAUAAAAUUUUUUAAGACUAAGAGGAAAGCCAAUUGCGAAGGCAUGGAUUUUGGUAAAAAUUAUGUUUAAGUACGAAAACUUGGGGAGCAAACAGG